rnacentral:rRNA from 1 species
AAAUGGCCGCAGUAUUUUAACUGUGCAAAGGUAGCAUAAUCAUUAGUCUUUUAAUUGAAGGCUUGUAUGAAUGGUUGGACGAAAUAUCAACUGUUUCAUAAAAAUUAUAUUAGAAUUUUAUUUUUUAGUUAAAAAGCUAAAAUUUAUUUAAAAGACGAGAAGACCCUAUAGAUCUUUAUAUUAGUUAUUUUAUAGAUAUUUAGAUUAUUUAAUUAUAAUUAUUUUUAAUAUUUUGUUGGGGUGACAUUAAAAUUUAAUAAACUUUUAAUUUUUAUUAACAUAAAUUAAUGAAUAAUUGAUCCAUUAAUAGUGAUUAUAAAAUUAAGUUACCUUAGGGAUAACAGCGUAAUUUUUUUGAAGAGUUCAUAUCGAUAAAAAAGAUUGCGACCUCGAUGUUGGAUUAAGAUAUAAU